UACGGGGGGGGCAAGCGUUGUUCGGAAUUACUGGGCGUAAAGGGCGCGUAGGCGGCCACCGCAAGUCGGUUGUGAAAUCUCUGGGCUUAACCCAGAAAGGUCAACCGAUACUGCGGGGCUAGAGUGCAGAAGGGGCAACUGGAAUUCUCGGUGUAGCGGUGAAAUGCGUAGAUAUCGAGAGGAACACCUGCGGCGAAGGCGGGUUGCUGGGCUGACACUGACGCUGAUGCGCGAAAGCUAGGGGAGCGAACGGG
rnacentral:rRNA from 1 species